rnacentral:rRNA from 1 species
CCCUUAGAUGUCCUGGGCCGCACGCGCGCUACACUGAUGCAUUCAACGAGUUUUACCUUGGCCGAGAGGCCUGGGCAAUCUUUUAAACCUGCAUCGUGAUAGGGAUAGAUUAUUGCAAUUAUUAAUCUUGAACGAGGAAUUCCUAGUAAACGCAGAUCAUCAAUCUGCGUUGAUUACGUCCCUGCCCUUUGUACACACCGCCCGUCGCACCUACCGAUUGAAUGGUCCGGUGAAGCCUCGGGAUUGUGGCCAGUUCACUUUAUUGGGAGUUGGCUGCGAGAACUUGUCUAAACCUUAUCAUUUAGAGGAAGGUGAAGUCGUAACA